UACAGAGGGGGCAAGCGUUAUUCGGAAUUAUUGGGCGUAAAGGGCGCGUAGGCGGCUUUGCAAGUGACGGGUGAAAGCCCUCGGCUUAACCGAGGAACUGCCUGUCAGACUGUAAGGCUUGAGACCGGGAGAGGUGAGUGGAAUUCCCAGUGUAGCGGUGAAAUGUGUAGAUAUUGGGAGGAACACCAGUGGCGAAGGCGGCUCACUGGACCGGAACUGACGCUGAGGCGCGAAAGCGUGGGGAGCAAACAGG
rnacentral:rRNA from 1 species